AAGAAUAUAGCAUAUAAUUAAUGCAUUUUAUUUACAUUAAAAAGAAAAAUUUUAUUCUUA
rnacentral:tRNA from 1 species